rnacentral:tRNA from 1 species
GGGGAUAUAGCUCAGUUGGUAGAGUGCUUGCCUUGCUUUCAUUGGCUUCUGGGUUCAAACCCCAGCACCACCA